GACCAUCCCAGUUCGGAUUGCAGUCUGAAACUCGAGUGCAUGAAGCUGGAAUCGCUAGUAAUCGCAAAUCAGAAUGUUGCGGUGAAUACGUUCCCGGGUCUUGUACACACCGCCCGUCACACCAUGGGAGUUGGAAAUGCCCGAAGUCAGUGACCCAACCAAAAGGAGGGAGCUGCCGAAGGCAGGUUCGAUGACUGGGGUGAAGUCGUAACAAGGUACC
rnacentral:rRNA from 1 species